GCCGGACAUGGUGGCACGUGCCUGUAGUCCCAGCUAUUUGGGAGGCUGAGGCUAGAGGAUCUCUUGAGUCCAGGAGUUCUGGGCUAUAGUGCGCUAUGCCAGUCGCGUGUCCGCACUAAGUUCGGCAUCAAUAUGGUGACUUCCCGGGAGUGGGGGACCACCAGGUUGCCUAAGGAGGGGUGAACCAGCCCAGGUCGGAAACGGAGCAGGUCAAAACUCCCGUGCUGAUCAGUAGUGGGAUCGUGCCUGUGAAUAGCCACUGCAUUCCAGCCUGGGCAACAUAGCGAAACCCCGUCUCU
ensembl:misc_RNA Metazoa_SRP Metazoan signal recognition particle RNA